rnacentral:tRNA from 1 species
AAGAUAUUAGUUAAAUUAUAACACUGCCUUGUCAAGGCAGAAUUACGAAUUAAACUCUCGUAUAUCUUG